UUAGAGGUACUAUACUUAACACGAGUGCAAUAUAUAUUUUAAUAAGCCCAAAAGUUAUACUCAAAAUUUAUACAAGGAGGUUUUCUAGUUGAACCCUAAAGUUACAAAGUGGGUCCAUUCUCUUUUCUCACCGUUUUACUUCCUUUUUGUGAUUUGCCCAAAACUAUUAUUUUUGUAAACAAAUCUCGUCAAAAGUUAUAUCUAUUAUUUUAUUUACCUAACAGGAAACCCUAGUUGAGACACCCAAGUAAUUCUACAUAAUCCCUAAAAUUUUCAGAAUAAACAGAAUCAGGAUCAGGGCCCCUAAAACUCAAAGGGGAUAAACCCUAAUCAAUAUUUAUCUUCUAAAUUCGUUGUUGAAAUUGAAAGUGAUCGUACAAUCAACUCAUCAAACCUAUACCACCGACUAGGCUACCCUAUAAUUAGACCACACCCCUUACGGACCGUAAGGGUUAUGGCUUACGGUCCGUAAGCGAGGCUAUUUUCCGGGUAUAAAUAGAGGACCUUGGGACUUGCUUGAAGAAGUUGAAACGACGCACAAAUUCACUGUGAACGUCGGAUUAGAGCAGUAGUAGUACAAUUAAACACACACGGGUCACGAAGUGCUGCUACGAUACAGGGUAUUAACUCGAUCGCUAUUACGAUUCAUUUUCCGACCGAUCAAUAUAUCCAAUGGAUUUUUAAGUGCCACCCACAUUAGGGUUAUACUUUGUCGUUCGUCGUUAAUUCGAUGGAUGUUUAAGUAUAGCACUUUGUCGUUCGUUGUUACAAGGCUAAGCUCUGCCUGUAUAAAUUUGCAAUAUAUCAAGGCUUACCUGUAAACUAAACUUUGGCCAUACGAAUCUGCAAGGUGAGUCAUUCUCUUUUUAUCAACUGUUUUACAAUACUCCAAAUUAUUUUCAGAAUUAUAAAUUAUAGUGAUUAAGUUUAUGUAAUCACCAAAUUACAGCCAGUAUGUGGGGUAUUGUGCACAUUACUACUGUUUUUAUCACUUUUGGUGGGCGAACCUAAAAUUAAGUGAUAUACGUCAUUCAUUGGGGCAGCCAAUGGUGAUAUGACCACAGUCACAGAUCCGGUCGAGUGACAAAUACUGUGGGUAGUUGGUAGAUAUCAGAAACAUAUGUAAAAACUCUUAAUACUGUAAAUUAUAACAAACGAGUCGUUUUAGUAAAACUGAAUGAUUCAAUCAGUAUUUCCCGCUGACAAAACCUUUUUAAAACGCGUUACAGGUAAUUACAGUAGAUUGGAGUAAGGAUUGGAUCCAACACUGAAGGACUUCAAGAAGUGGCUUAUUUUAUUAAUUAAAUCAACUUAAGAAAUAUUGUUUUUGGGUUUAUCCCGUAUUAAAAGCUACCUUUGUAAAACAUGGGUUUAUCCCAUCUAUUUAAUAAAUAAAAUCCGGUGUUUCUAAACUCUGAUAUUUUUCCUAACUCACGGUCCUGAUGAAAUUUCCGCUGCAAUAUUUUUCAAAAUAACUCACCGGUACCACUGGACUGCUCGCGGCUCCCGAUUCCGUCCAGGGUGGGUCGGGGGACGUGACAGUAAAGGUGGUAUCAGAGCCACUGCUUUAAGCCAAUAAGUGUUGUGAUAAUAAUACUUAAGCUUAAAAUAAAAGAGUUAGGAGAUUGCUAUUAACUGGUAGCAUAUCUGAUAGCAUUUAGAUUUGAACAUAAGAAAAGAUGCCUUAGUAUAAGCUAAGCCACUUAUUUAAACAAUUAGAUGUUCUAAUAAUACCUAAGUUUAAAUGGAGAAUUAGGAACUUAAUAAUUAUCCGAUAGCACUCAGGAUGAUAUUUAGACUUGAACUUAAGAAUUUUGCCUUAAAAUCAGCUUCAAGAUAAAUUACUUAUAUAAGUAUAAUGUGAUAAAUAUUGGUAUGUCAUAAGAAUGACGAUUAGCAGGUAAUAGCACUUAAUUGCUAUUUAUUCUUGUUUAUCGAUAUUACCUGGUUUAGAAUAAAAUAUGUUAUGGAAAUACAAAUUUCCUUAAUUCUGGAUAAAAGCCCUGAUAAAAGAGGCACUUUUAAAAUCUUGAAAAGAUACUAUUUAUGGGAAAUAGAAAAUUUUCUCCGGCAAAACUGGGUAUAGAGUAGCAGACUCUCCAGCUUGUCCGGAUAUACUGAGAUUACCUCUCCUGCGCGAACCGGAUAAGACGGGGUACAUAGUAUGUCAAACAAGUGACAAGAUUUCCCUAAAUAAUAUCAUGAUUUGAUAUCUGAUUUAUUUUUGGAAAUAUGAAUACAUUGACCUGACAAAUGGUAUGUUUAUUUCAGCAUGUGAAAUAUGUGAUUAUAUAGAUAGGUAUAUCUGUAAGGA
rnacentral:lncRNA from 1 species